rnacentral:rRNA from 3 species
GGGUUGUGAGGUUAAGCGACUAAGCGUACACGGUGGAUGCCCUGGCAGUCAGAGGCGAUGAAGGGCGUGCUAAUCUGCGAUAAGCGCCGGUAAGGUGAUAUGAACCGUUAUAACCGGCGAUACCCGAAUGGGGAAACCCAGUGUGACUCGUCACACUAUCAUUAACUGAAUCCAUAGGUUAAUGAGGCGAACCGGGGGAACUGAAACAUCUAAGUACCCCGAGGAAAAGAAAUCAACCGAGAUUCCCCCAGUAGCGGCGAGCGAACGGGGAGGAGCCCAGAGCCUGAAUCAGCAUGUGUGUUAGUGGAAGCGUCUGGAAAGGCGCGCGAUACAGGGUGACAGCCCCGUACACAAAAGCGCAUGUGCUGUGAGCUCGAUGAGUAGGGCGGGACACGUGGUAUCCUGUCUGAAUAUGGGGGGACCAUCCUCCAAGGCUAAAUACUCCUGACUGACCGAUAGUGAACCAGUACCGUGAGGGAAAGGCGAAAAGAACCCCGGCGAGGGGAGUGAAAAAGAACCUGAAACCGUGUACGUACAAGCAGUGGGAGCCCCACCACUAAGCCAGUGGUGAACUCCACAUACGCAUCCUUUGCUGAGGAUACGGUUAACGGAGCGAAAGCGACGUUCAACCGCAAAAGAAGCAGAGGGGGCUUAGUGGUGGGGUGACUGCGUACCUUUUGUAUAAUGGGUCAGCGACUUAUAUUCUGUAGCAAGGUUAACCGAAUAGGGGAGCCGGAGGGAAACCGAGUCUUAAU